AUACGUAGGGGGCGAGCGUUGUCCGGAAUGAUUGGGCGUAAAGGGCGCGUAGGCGGCCCGGUAAGUCUGGAGUGAAAGUCCUGUUUUUAAGAUGGGAAUUGCUUUGGAUACUGUCGGGCUUGAGUGCAGGAGAGGUAAGUGGAAUUCCCAGUGUAGCGGUGAAAUGCGUAGAGAUUGGGAGGAACACCAGUGGCGAAGGCGACUUACUGGACUGCAACUGACGCUGAGGCGCGAAAGUGUGGGGAGCAAACAGGAUUAGAUACCCUGGUAGUCCACACUGUAAACGAUGAAUGCUAGGUGUAAGAGGUAUCGACCCCUUUUGUGCCGGAGUCAACACAAUAAGCAUUCCGCCUGGGGAGUACGGCCGCAAGGUUGAAACUCAAAUGAAUUGACGGGG
rnacentral:rRNA from 1 species